rnacentral:tRNA from 1 species
GCAGCGGUGAUUCAGUGGUAAAAUUCUCGCCUUCCACGCAGGAGACCUGGGUUUGAUUCCCGGCCAAGGCA